CUCACGGCAGCCUGGCUGUUUAGAGAGACCUCUAGCUCCAGACUGUUCCAUCUGAGGCUGACGGGGACUCUGCUGAGGGCGCUGUAAGAUGGCCUCAGAGCAUGCACCUCAUGCCAUCUGAACCACAUCAAUAUGAGAGUUAUGGAGAAACCAGCUGGUAAGGAAGUACUCUCUCUGCAAUAGCCAUGAGGACCCAGGCGAGGUCUGCCAACAGGCAUAUGAGUGAACUUGGAAGCAGGUUCGCCCCCAUCCCAGCCUUGAGCUGCCUGGAGAACUGGCCACCACCCCAGUUGCAGCCUUGAGACAGAAGAACACAGCAAAACCACUCCUAGAUUCCUGACUACAGAAACCAUGAGAUAAUAAAUGUCUGCUGUUUUAAGCACUAAUUUUAGGGAUACUUUGUUACACAGCAAUAGAUAACUCAUGCAAUUGGAGAAAGCUUUCCCAUCAUCAAUGAACUGAUGGCUAAAAAUCAUAUGAAUGCAUUUCAUUAAAUAAAAGAAAAAAAAAAACUCUCCCAUCUGCACAUUUGAAAAAAAAUUAGAAACAGAAUUUGCUAGCUUAUUUUUUUUAAAUCCCAGAUAAAAUACCAAUCGAUUUGAACCAACUGCUAAAAAUACAGAAAUGCAACACCUUCUAAAGAGUUUUCAAUAAUGAAUGAAUGAUUGACACCAGAGAAGAUGAAGUUAUUAAUUAAACUUCAAGAAAGAUCUGAACAUAGUGCUCAAAGUAAAUAGAGUCAUGAUUUGGUCAAUCCUGCUAACAAACACUCCUGUUGAAACUUUCUUUGCAUAGUACCUUGUUUUGAUUAAAACUAGAAAUUAAAAUAAACUGAACUUAGAACCAGUCCUUCAAAUUACCUUAUCACAAGAUAUUACACAAAAGUUUUCAGAAAUAUAUAACAUUUUCAAACACAGUGCUCAUGCUAAUA